rnacentral:rRNA from 1 species
CCUGCCCAAGAGAUCGGGAUAACACCUGGAAACAGAUGCUAAUACCGGAUAACAACAGAUGAUGCCUAUCAACUGUUUAAAAGAUGGUUCUGCUAUCACUCUUGGAUGGACCUGCGGUGCAUUAGCUAGUUGGUAGGGUAACGGCCUACCAAGGCGAUGAUGCAUAGCCGAGUUGAGAGACUGAUCGGCCACAUUGGGACUGAGACACGGCCCAAACUCCUACGGGAGGCAGCAGNG